AAAAGUCGUAACAAGGUCUCCGUUGGUGAACCAGCGGAGGGAUCAUUACAGAGUUGCAAAACUCCCAAACCAUCGUGAACGCUACCUAUAUCGUUGCUUCGGCGGGCGGCGCACCCGCGCCCUCGGCCCCCCGGGGGCCCGCCGGAGGUCUACCAAACUCUUGUCAUUAUUGAUGCUCUGAGUAAAAAACACAAUUAUUACAACUUUCAACAAUGGAUCUCUUGGCUCUGG
rnacentral:misc_RNA from 1 species